rnacentral:tmRNA from 2 species
GGGGGCGCACUGGUUUCGACCGGUUUCGAUCACCUCCAGGUUGCGUGUCGGGGACCCCGAGUGACCCCGCAAAUCUUCUCGGGACGGCAUCAAUUGCCAACAACAUGCCUCUCGCUGCCUAGUCAACUGGCAGCCGUCUCCGCGCGGAGUACCCGCGGCCGCGUGGAGACGAAAACAGCGGGUUGGUCGGUGAGCAACGCCUCCUGGCGAGCCGGCGAGAAAACAGGGGAAGCUGGCCAGAGGGCAGUCCGUCCACGGACGUCCCCGCGGCGAGAGCAAAUCGUGGACUACACACGUAGACGUCUGGUGCGUGGGGACUCCGGGACGCGGGUUCGAUUCCCGCCGCCUCCACCA